CUUAGUUUUCGACGUGUUUUGGUGUGCAGGGGAGUUCUAUUCCGAUUGAAACCGUCCAAAACUGAGGC
rnacentral:pre_miRNA from 1 species